rnacentral:rRNA from 1 species
AUGUCGUCGACUCCGCCGCCACCUUCUGGGAUUGUGUCUUCGUCCUUCUGUGUUAGGCGUGAUGUGCUGUGCCCACAGCGGAACUUGGGUAUUGUGUGUGUGUCUGUGCUUGUUGGUGUGGUUCCUGACUUGCGGGCUGGCUUGCGGUCCAUCCCCACCCGGCGCAAAAUCGGCAAGGGGAGCCUCUGCCGAGCGCGGCGGCGCUGCGAUUUUUUCCAAACCGAGUCCGCCGGCGAGACGGCUAGUUCGCUUCGUAGCCUCACUGGAGACGAAGCGGAGCCGUGUCCGUAUGCAAACUGGUCGGGGGGUGGGGGGCAUAUAAUCUCCCUCUCUCCGAAUACAGGGAAGGCGUCGAUUUGGUUCACCAAAUCGCCAAGCUACGACUCCUUCCGCAGCCUCGCGCCGGGCUCCGCCGCCACCCGGCCGGCACCACUCAGCAGCAGUUUAGUCUGCGGCAGGUCAUGCGGAAAAUUGUCUAGCAGACGCCCUGCAAAAACAAGAUCGACUAUGAUGUUGUCACCGGUCAAAUGUACCGCUAAAAGAAGCAAAUCCGAGCCUGUGAUCCAUAGUCUCCCGGAGGGUAUUAUGCAUGACAUAAUAUCAAGGCUGACACUGAAGGAUGCUGUGAGGGCCAGUUUGGUGUCGACAAACUGGAGACGACUAUGGACAUGCCAUUCUAAUCUAUGCUUUGACAGUCCCACGAUCCUGAACCGCGAGUAUGGCACCAUUAGCAGGAGCAGCAGCAGGAGGGGCAGAAGAAGACGCAGGUUCAUCAGGCGUGUCGAUGCCAUCCUGGAAUCCCACAGCGGUACAGGGCUAAGAAGAUUUGGUAUCACGUUCGCUCUUGACGCGAGGCACACGGAACAUCUGGAUCGAUGGCUCAAGUUCGCACUCGAUUCCAGGGCAUCUGAGAUUGCUGUUAAUUUGUUCCCUGUGUUCUACAAGGGUUUCGUGAGGUCAUAUGAAUGGGAGGAUGCAUACACCUUGCCGUCUCAUAUGUUUAGCAGUCAAGGGGCAUCUUACAUCGAGUCACUUGAGCUCGUCUUUGCAUCGUUGAAGCUACCCCGUGAUUUCUAUGGCCCUUUGAAGCUUAGAGUGUUGGAUCUCCAAUCUGUUCACGUGUCGGAAGGAGAUCUCGAGCUGCUGUUGUCCAAGUGCAGUUCAUUGGAGUGUUUGCGCCUGGGUCGUUGUUACCCAGUGCUUAAUCUGAAAGUGCAGAAACCACUAUGUCGGCUGCGUAAUUUAUCUGUCCGGGGAUGUCAGCUGCAGGUUAUGGAAUUCAGUGCUCCGAAUCUAGCAAAAUUUGAGUAUUCGGGUCAGGCCAUACCCAUUACACUCGGUGAAUCCAUGAAGCCAACAGAGGCUACUGUGACGCUCUUGGGAUAUGAUGACACUCUUGAACAUGUCUUCACUGAACUUCCAAAAACCCUGUCUCACGUGGAGACACUAUCUGUGAACACUUGCAUAAACACCGAGGUGGUUGGAUUUUCAAAUUGCCUGAUGAAGUUCACUCAUCUGAUAAAACUGGAGGUGACUAUGCUUCCACAUGUCUCGGUAGGGUUUUCCAAUGAGCCUGAAGCCUACUGGCAUUUUCGGCCAUGCGCCCAUAGUCAUCUUGAGCAGUUCGAGGUUUCAGGGUUUAUCGGUCUAAGAAGUCAGCUUGAGGUGGUAUUGUGCAUCCUUGACAACGCAGUGGCUCUGAGGCGGAUGUCCGUAGAACCGAGGGUGACGGCACAUGAUCGUGUCUUUGGACACUUGGCGGAGUUUGAGCUUGAUAUAAGAAGAGGCAGGGAAUGUGCCUUGGACUUCUUUUCGCCCAAAGACUACCCCGGCGUGCAGAUUGAGAUUUUCUGA